rnacentral:rRNA from 1 species
UUUAAAUGUAAAUAUUAUUAACCAGGGUAGUAAUUGUUAUGUUCUUCAAACCCAAAGAAUUUGGCGGUGCUUUAGUCCCUUCAGAGGAAUCUGUCCCGUGAUCGACAUUCCACGAUAUAAUGUACUUAUUUUUGUUUUCAGUUUGUAUACCUCCGUCGUAAGAGAAUCUUUUUAGAGUUUAAUUUUCUUAAUAUAUUAAAUAUAUUAUGUCAGGUCAAGGUGCAAUUUAUAAAUAAGUGGAGAUGGAUUACAAUAAGUUUAUUUAAACGGAUUAAAUUAUUUAAUUUUUUAUGAAGGUGGAUUUGAUUGUAAUUUUAAUAGUUUAUUAUUAUGAUUAUUGGCUCUAAAGUAUGC